ACAAUUGAAAAUGGAUGAAGCCCUUGUUUUCAUUGCAACUACAACACAAUAUAUUCAGAGUUCUUUUUCCACCACCCAUGGACAUGGUAGAGAUCGAGGUCGUGUACGUUCCUCCGGUUAAGGAUACCAACCAUCUUAAAACUGAUUUUCAGGACUCACUCUGCUCAUACCAAUCAUGCUUCAUCUCAAACUUCAGAUAUGUCUGAAACUAUUUGUCAUUUUAAGAACUCCAUCUCCACAGUAUUAGUUAAUAAAUAGUGGCACUACACAUCAUAUUACACCUGAUAUUGAUAACUUGGGUAUUCAUUUCGAGUUUCAAGGUCCUAAGGAAGUUACAAUAGGCCUAAGUAAUGAUGGAUUAUAUUCUCUUUCGACAUUAAAGUCAUCUGGUGGUGGUGCAUUCAUAAUCAAACUCUAUAUAGGAGUACUGUGGGAGCUCUACAAUACUUUGACAUUUACUAGAUCCGAUAUAAGGUCCUAGCUCGAGUGCUCCUCAGCUUGAUUGACUCGGGUGAUUGUUGGAGCUUCUAAGGUAGCGGUUGGACAUUCAUGCGUUCAAAGUUUACCUCUAUCUUUCUAUAGUAGUUAUGUCUUUAUUAGUAUUCAGAGACAAUUAUUUUUUUUGUGGUUAAUUUUCCGAUGUAUUUAACUCUCAGAUUAUAUUAGUAGUUCUUACACUAUUGACACCUGGUUUUGGGCAUGAUUGU